rnacentral:rRNA from 1 species
AUUGAACGCUGGCGGCAUGCCUUACACAUGCAAGUCGAACGGCAGCACGGGUGCUUGCACCUGGUGGCGAGUGGCGAACGGGUGAGUAAUACAUCGGAACAUGUCCUGUAGUGGGGGAUAACCCGGCGAAAGCCGGAUUAAUACCGCAUACGAUCUACGGAUGAAAGCGGGGGACCUUCGGGCCUCGCGCUAUAGGGUUGGCCGAUGGCUGAUUAGCUAGUUGGUGGGGUAAAGGCCUACCAAGGCGACGAUCAGUAGCUGGUCUGAGAGGACGACCAGCCACACUGGGACUGAGACACGGCCCAGACUCCUACGGGAGGCAGCAGUGGGGAAUUUUGGACAAUGGGCGAAAGCCUGAUCCAGCAAUGCCGCGUGUGUGAAGAAGGCCUUCGGGUUGUAAAGCACUUUUGUCCGGAAAGAAAUCCUUGGCCCUAAUACGGUCGGGGGAUGACGGUACCGGAAGAAUAAGCACCGGCUAACUACGUG